ensembl:lncRNA
UUUUCUUUUGUUCAUAUCUUUUGCUUAGUUUACAUCUUGGGUUUGUUGGCAUUGAUUCACCAGCACUUAUUAGGGCAUUGCAAAACACCAGCGACAGAAAGAAACCAAACCACAAAUCCCUCAGAACAAAUUCCCGGCGCAGAGCCCCGUUGCAGACUUGCAGACCCAGCCUCACAGGGGAGCCCCCGGCGAUGUGGAAGGCUCUUCCAGGAGAUUUGGAGACAAGUGCUGAAACUGCUCCACCACUCUCGAACUCUGGUAUUUCUGACUGUGUUCUUCUGCUGACUGAGGGUGGUGCUGAAGACUUUAAUAGUGAACUCUUGCUUUUUAAAGAACAGUCAGUCCCAAAUUACCUGGUAUCUUCUCUUCAAUAUAUCCCGUUCUAUAGGACAUCUGAAGUCUUCAUCAGCCCUCACUCCCUUAUCGCAUCGAACAUCAGCACAGAAACAGAAGAAAGCUUUGAUGAUAGCCAAGUUAACGCUAAACAAGAUGAGAACUUGAACAAUUCAGCUCUCUCCACAGGAUAUUUUCCAUAUUACAGAUCGUAUGAAGAGCCACUUGGCAAGCCACUUGCAUAUAACUUAAAUGUGAAUGCAGAGGGAAAACAGCCUGGCACCAACAGGAAAGACAGAAGGCAAGGCAGAUGUGCCCAGGCUGUUAGAAAUGUUGAGAAAACCGUUCCACCAAGUUUGGAGCCAGACAAGAGGGUAGUUUCCUCCAAUGCUGAGCCAUCUGCCCACCCACUGCUACUGGAGAGCAUCUCAGAAAACUGCGCUUCAAAGACCGCCUUUCUCAAUGAACUGCCAAGCCUAGGUCAGCCCUUUUCUUCCACUGGGUACUUUCCCUAUUACAGGACAUGUGGAGACCUCCACACCAGUCCAGCUCCUUGUGAUAGGUUCUUCACCAGGAUAGAAAUUUUGGGGGAUGAAGAGGGAGGAGGAGAGGGAGAAACAAGUGUUUGGAAUUUCAAUACCAGCUGCUCAGCAUGCUGA